AGAAGGUGAUGUUUGACUUCCUGUACAGCUGCAGUUCGUGUGGUGAAGGUGCUCCCACAAUGUGGUUGGGGAUCUGCACUGGAACCCUUCUGUUUGCGGGACAAAUAUAUAUAAGUGACAUGGAUUAAAAUCUAAUUUGCUUUGAUGGAGAUGUGUUGAAAAUGUUUGCAGUUACUGAUCUGCUGAACCAAAAUGACCCCUUUUAAACUGAUGAUUGGAC